UGACAGGUCUAGAGAUAGAUUUUCCCUUUUAGGGCAUCGGAUACAGGUGGUGCAUGGUUGUCGUCAGCUCGUGUCGUGAGAUGUUGGGUUAAGUCCCGCAACGAGCGCAACCCCUAUUGUUAGUUGCCAUCAUUAAGUUGGGCACUCUAGCGAGACUGCCAGUAAUAAACUGGAGGAAGGUGGGGAUGACGUCAAAUCAUCAUGCCCCUUAUGACCUGGGCUACACACGUGCUACAAUGGGAAGUACAACGAGUUGCGAGGCGGUGACGCCAAGCUAAUCUCUUAAAGCUUCUCUCAGUUCGGAUUGUAGGCUGCAACUCGCCUACAUGAAGUCGGAAUCGCUAGUAAUCGCGGAUCAGCACGCCGCGGUGAAUACGUUCCCGGGCCUUGUACACACCGCCCGUCACACCACGAGAGUUUGUAACACCCGAAGUCGGUGAGGUAACCGUAAGGAGCCAACCGCCUAAGGUGGGAUAGAUGAUUGGGGUGAAGUCGUAACAAGGUAAGCGUAGAUGA
rnacentral:rRNA from 1 species